rnacentral:rRNA from 1 species
GGCGGCGUGCUUAACACAUGCAAGUCGAACGAAGCUUGAUUACGGAUUCUUCGGAUGAAGUAUGAUAUGACUGAGUGGCGGACGGGUGAGUAACGCGUGAGUAACCUGCCCUUCAGAGGGGGAUAGCGUUUGGAAACGAACGGUAAUACCGCAUAAUGUAUUUUGACCGCAUGAUCGAAAUACCAAAGAUUUAUCGCUGAAGGAUGGACUCGCGUCUGAUUAGGUAGUUGGUGGGGUAACGGCCUACCAAGCCGACGAUCAGUAGCCGGACUGAGAGGUUGAUCGGCCACAUUGGGACUGAGACACGGCCCAGACUCCUACGGGAGGCAGCAGUGGGGAAUAUUGCACAAUGGGCGCAAGCCUGAUGCAGCAACGCCGCGUGAAGGAAGACGGUUUUCGGAUUGUAAACUUCUGUUCUUAGUGAAGAAUAAUGACGGUAGCUAAGGAGCAAGCCACGGCUAACUACGUGCCAGCAGCCGCGGUAAUACGUAGGUGGCAAGCGUUGUCCGGAAUUACUGGGUGUAAAGGGAGCGCAGGCGGGUGAUCAAGUCAGCUGUGAAAACUACGGGCUUAACCCGUAGACUGCAGUUGAAACUGUUCAUCUUGAGUGAAGUAGAGGUUGGCGGAAUUCCGAGUGUAGCGGUGAAAUGCGUAGAUAUUCGGAGGAACACCGGUGGCGAAGGCGGCCAACUGGGCUUUAACUGACGCUGAGGCUCGAAAGUGUGGGGAGCAAACA